rnacentral:lncRNA from 1 species
AAAUCACCAAUAUCCAAGACAGGAAGAUCUCAGUUCAACAGCUCCGGUAGUUAGGGAACUAACUCCACUUGCACAGGACUUCAUUUCACUCUUGGUUUUCAGGCUAUAACAGCACUUCACAGAACUAUUCUUUCAGCCAUACACCACUGGUCACAUUUCUACUAAAUCUUUCUGUAACACUUCUUAAAGAAUUCCCUCAUUCGUUAUCUUACAGUGUAAACAGGACUCUAAUUUGUAUCAAUUAUAUGUUUUGGUUGUAAUAUUCAGUUCACUCACCCAAUGUACAACCAAUGAAAUAAAAGAAGCAUUUAAAAGG